UCGCCACAUUUGAUCACUGUCUGAGUUGCCACGGGUUCCCCGCACAGCCUCGAGUGCACGCAUCCAUAUUUACAGUUGGAAUGCUUCUCGCAUCCAUGUGGGUCGUUCGCAGCCCACUGCCAGAAUCUGACGGGUUCUCUCUGGGAACGCGUUUGUUGGCGUGCACGCCAGCGAGCGUGCGCCCCCCACCACCGGUUCGCAGGUCUAAGACGACACUGCCUGCGUGCGGAGCGGCUGCGGGAAGACGCCCGGGCGCUCCAAGUCCAGCUCGGGUUACCAGGAAAUCGCCUAGAAUGGCACACAGGAUGCCUCCAUCUGCCACUGCACCCCGGCCCCGCCGAAGCACCAGGCGCUCUUUGUGUGUGAGACACAAGGCAUUGAUUUAAGGACAUGUGGCAUGUCUGUGCAGCUGCCUUCAAGACAUCCUUCUGCUUUCUGAAUGGCUGAAACCAAGGGAGAGACCACCCCGUGACCCAGAGAUGCGGUUUCGCAACAUGCAGAUGGAGGUUCUCAGAAGUCCUCCGCUGGAGCAGCUAAAUAGGACUGAGACAACGCGAUCCCAGAGACAAAGGUCAGCCCUAUUUUAAUCUCUGAGUGAGGCUAUGACUCUGGGACAAGGCCCUUCUUGUCUGAUUUCCUUCUAUUUUCAGUGAUUCACAAGCCGAAAUCUCUUUCAUCUGCCACUGCAGAGCCACAUCCCCCUUUCAGAUUUGUUUGUAAGUUAAAAUAGUUCCCAUCCUCAAUCUCCUUGGAGUGUCUUCUUACAGCCAUAGAAUUCCUCAGGCUGUGAGCCUAGAGGAGUCCCUGGGGAGGCAGAGACCAGCUUGGAAUGCAAACCCUCCCGGGAAGAACCCAGAGUGCAGCAGGAAGUGGGGUUGCUGCUUGCUUGGAUGGUCCCACAGAGGCGGAGAGCCAAUAACCCAGCAGGUUACAGGCGCUUGCUUCUUGAAGAGUUCACCAGAACUCCGGAAGGCUGUAGCAUCUUAUUUGGACAUAUGCUUACCCCGUGCUGAUGGCUAAAGUGAAUUCUUUCCAGUGUGUUAGUCACAGCCCUGAUGUUCUAGUUAUUCAAUGAUGUUAGUGUGAAAGUGGCUCCCUUAGUUUCUUAUCAGCUCAAGUCUCAUGUUCAGUAAUGAUUGGUCCACUUGGAUCACUGGGAACUAGCAUUGGCUUCAUACAUUUUUUUAAGAUUUAUUUUUAUUUAUUUGAAAGGCAGAGUUACAUAGAAAGAGAGGAAGAGAUCGAGAAGGAGAGACUUUAAUCUACUGGUUUUUCACUCCCCAAAUGGCCGUAACGGCCAGGAGUAGGCCAAAUUGAAGAUAGGAGCCUGGGGCUUCUUCCAGGUCUCCCACAUGUAUGUAGAGCCCAAG